GCGUUGGCCCAAUUGAUUGAUGGUGCUUGCACCUGAUUGAUUUUGGUCGCCAACGAGUGGCGGACGGGUGAGUAACACGUAGGUAACCUGCCCAGAAGCGGGGGACAACAUUUGGAAACAGAUGCUAAUACCGCAUAACAACGUUGUUCGCAUGAACAACGCUUAAAAGAUGGCUUCUCGCUAUCACUUCUGGAUGGACCUGCGGUGCAUUAGCUUGUUGGUGGGGUAACGGCCUACCAAGGCGAUGAUGCAUAGCCGAGUUGAGAGACUGAUCGGCCACAAUGGGACUGAGACACGGCCCAUACUCCUACGGGAGGCAGCAGUAGGGAAUCUUCCACAAUGGGCGCAAGCCUGAUGGAGCAACACCGCGUGAGUGAAGAAGGGUUUCGGCUCGUAAAGCUCUGUUGUUAAAGAAGAACACGUAUGAGAUUAACUGUUCAUACGUUGACGGUAUUUAACCAGAAAGUCACGGCUAACUACGUGCCAGCAGCCGCGGUAAUACGUAGGUGGCAAGCGUUAUCCGGAUUUAUUGGGCGUAAAGAGAGUGCAGGCGGUUUUCUAAGUCUGAUGUGAAAGCCUUCGGCUUAACCGGAGAAGUGCAUCGGAAACUGGAUAACUUGAGUGCAGAAGAGGGUAGUGGAACUCCAUGUGUAGCGGUGGAAUGCGUAGAUAUAUGGAAGAACACCAGUGGCGAAGGCGGCUACCUGGUCUGCAACUGACGCUGAGACUCGAAAGCAUGGGUAGCGAACAGGAUUAGAUACCCUGGUAGUCCAUGCCGUAAACGAUGAGUGCUAGGUGUUGGAGGGUUUCCGCCCUUCAGUGCCGGA
rnacentral:rRNA from 1 species